AGGGGAUUAGUUUAAUGGUAGAACUAUGGACUCCAAACCCAUCUGUGCGGGUUCGAUUCCUGCAUCCCCUG
rfam:Mycoplasma canadense DNA, complete genome, strain: HAZ360_1.